AGUUGCCUCCCUGCACCUGAGAGCUGCAGAGGCUCCUGCCCAGACCUGGCCUCACCACCGGCCCGGCUGGCCGCCGGAGAGCCUCCUGGCGAUUUGAGCCCCAGAUCACCAUGGGCCCCUCCACCCCGGCGGGAUGCAGAGCCCUGCUGGGCUGCCUGGCCCUCCUGUGGGCCCUCCCGGUUCCCAGCGACCAGGAGGAGGUAAGGCUGGUGCAGCCGGCCCUGGUGAUGGCGCGCACCAGGGGCUCGACUACCCUGCCCUGCCGGACCUACGGCUCUGUCACCUAUGUCCACUGGUACCGCCAACUGGAGGGCCGGGCCCCCGAGAGGCUCCUCUAUCUGGCCUUGUCGAAGAGGGAUGUGCAGUGGGAUUCGGUACUGAGAGGUGAUAAAGUCAACGCCCAGGUGAACAACGAUGGCAGAAGCUGCUUCUUGUCGCUGAUGAAGCUGGAGAAGGCUGAUGAGGGCACGUACUACUGUGCUGCCUGGGACACUGUGGAAUUAUAUAAUAAAAUCUUCGGUGGUGGAACAAAACUCGUAGUCACAGAUAGAGGGUUUGAUGCAGACAUGGGCCCCAAGCCCACUAUUUUUCUGCCUUCAGUUGCUGAAAUAAACCACCAUCGGGCUGGAACGUAUCUUUGUCUUCUGGAGGACUUUUUCCCUGAUAUUAUUAAGGUUUCCUGGAAAGAAAAGAAUGACAACAGGAUUCUGCAGUCCCAGCAGGGAGACACCGUGAAGACCAGCAACACGUACAUGAAGCUGAGCUGGCUGACCGUGCCUGAAAAGUCCAUGGAUAAAGAACACGUAUGUGUCGUCAAACACAGGAACAAUAGAGGAGAAACUGGUCAAGAGAUAUAUUUUCCUUCAAUAAAUAAAGUUGUCACCUCGAUUGUCACUACUACUGAUUCUCCAAACGAUUGUUUGAAGGAUGAAAAAGAAGGCAUUGUUAGUGAUUCUACAAAAGCCUGCCCAAGAGAUGGAAGUGAAGCCACUGGAAUUAAUUCUACAAAAGCUUGCCUGAAAGAUGAAAGCAACACAGUGCGGCUGCAGCGCGAGAGCACGUCCGCCUACUACGCGUACCUCCUCCUGCUGCUCAAGAGCGGGCUCUACUUCUGCGUCGUCGCCUUCCUCCUGCUGCGGAGAACAGCCGUGUGCGGGCACGGGAAGGGCUCGUGACGGAGGGUGCCGGAGGGCCGGCUGUUCCUCACCGUCUGUUGUCUGAAAAAGACGUCUGCUGAGGACCUAGCGGGGCUUCCCUCCUGGGUUUGGGUCAUUGCAGAUAAUGUGUGUAUGUUUUUUUAAUUAUUGUAGAACAGUUUUUCAAACCGCUGGGCAAACAUAUUUUGCUCUGUAACAAGGAAUUCUGCCAUUACUCGGGGUUGGGAGGGGGCGGGCAGAGGGCAGGCCCCCGGGAGCCUUUCCCGCCUCGUCCCCACGAGCUCGUCGGCUCCUCCGGCCGCACGAGCCCCCGCCCUGAGUGCCGUCCGCCCUCGCGGCCGCCCCGACCUUCCCCGGCGCACACCCCGCGCCCGCCAGCUUUGCCACUUCAGUUCUGUACUUUGUUUUUCAUAAUAGGAACAAGAAAUUAAAAAAGAAAUCAAAAGCCCA